rnacentral:rRNA from 1 species
GCAGUCGAACGAUAGUUGAGAGCUUGCUCUUGACGAAAGUGGCGCACGGGUGCGUAACGCGUAUGCAACCUACCUUAAUCAGGGGGAUAGCCCGAAGAAAUUCGGAUUAACACCGCAUAAAAACACAGGAUAGCAUUAUCCAAUGUUCAAAUAUUUAUAGGAUUAAGAUGGGCAUGCGUGUCAUUAGCUAGUUGGCGGGGUAACGGCCCACCAAGGCGACGAUGACUAGGGGAUCUGAGAGGAUGACCCCCCACACUGGUACUGAGACACGGACCAGACUCCUACGGGAGGCAGCAGUAAGGAAUAUUGGUCAAUGGAGGCAACUCUGAACCAGCCAUGCCGCGUGCAGGAAGACAGCCCUCUGGGUCGUAAACUGCUUUUAUUCGGGAAUAAACCUCAUUACGUGUAAUGAGCUGAAUGUACCGAAGGAAUAAGGAUCGGCUAACUCCGUGCCAGCAGCCGCGGUAAUACGGAGGAUCCAAGCGUUAUCCGGAUUUAUUGGGUUUAAAGGGUGCGUAGGCGGCUUAUUAAGUCAGGGGUGAAAGACGGUGGCUCAACCAUCGCAGUGCCCUUGAUACUGAUGAGCUUGAAUGAACUAGAGGUAGGCGGAAUGUGACAAGUAGCGGUGAAAUGCAUAGAUAUGUCACAGAACACCGAUUGCGAAGGCAGCUUACUAUGGUUUUAUUGACGCUGAGGCACGAAAGCGUGGGGAUCAAACAGGAUUAGAUACCCUGGUAGUCCACGCCCUAAACGAUGAAUACUCGCUGUUAGCGAUAUACAGUUAGCGGCUAAGCGAAAGCGUUAAGUAUUCCACCUGGGGAGUACGCCCGCAAGGGUGAAACUCAAAGGAAUUGACGGGGGCCCGCACAAGCGGAGGAGCAUGUGGUUUAAUUCGAUGAUACGCGAGGAACCUUACCCGGGCUUGAAAGUUAGUGAAUUAUCCAGAGAUGGAUAAGUGAGCAAUCACACGAAACUAGGUGCUGCAUGGCUGUCGUCAGCUCGUGCCGUGAGGUGUUGGGUUAAGUCCCGCAACGAGCGCAACCCCUAUGUUUAGUUGCCAGCAUGUAAAGGUGGGGACUCUAAACAGACUGCCUGUGCAAACAGAGAGGAAGGAGGGGACGACGUCAAGUCAUCAUGGCCCUUACGUCCGGGGCUACACACGUGCU